ACGGCUGUCCGUCGGGCCGCAGUCGCCGCCGCCGCCCGGACCCGACCGCCCGCCCGCACCUGCCGCCGACCCGCACACUCAGACAACAACCAUGUCGGACGAGGAUGAGAAGUUCUCGGAAGAGACCGGCCUGGAGAAGGAGCAGAUUGUAGUGCUGCGCCGCGCCUUCGAGAGCUUCGACAAGGAUAAGCAGGGCUUCAUCACGGCCGUCACCGUCGGCGACAUCCUGCGCAUGAUGGGCAUCAAGGUCUCCUCGUCCUCACUCAAAGCCAUCAUCGAGGAAAUCGACGAGGACGGUUCGGGAGAGAUCGAGUUCCCAGAGUUCCUGCAGCUGUCGGCCAAGUUCCUCAUUGAAGAGGACGAGGAGGCAAUGCUCAAGGAGCUCAAGGAGGCCUUCCGUCUGUACGACAAGGAAGGAAACGGCUACAUCACCACUCAGACUCUGAAGGAGAUCCUGCACGAGCUCGACCCGCGGCUCACCGAGGAGGAGCUCGUCGGCAUCAUCGAGGAGAUCGACGAGGACGGCUCGGGCACCGUCGACUUCGACGAGUUCCUCGAGAUGAUGACCGGCUAGAGGGGAGUGCGCGCGCGCGCACCCGCGGCUGCGUGCCGCCGGUCGCCCGUCCGGCCACGAGUUUAUGGCCAUGAUGACGGGCUGAGCGGCUCCGGUAAGGUCUGGCAGCGACUCCUUCUCACACUCACUCUCUCUCUCACGCGCCACGCCUCUCUCUGGCUCCAUCUCUCCGUCUCGUUUUGCCUCUCCCUGGUGUCCGCGGCUCCCGCUCUCCCCGAACUCACCCGGCCGGCCGCGGCGCUCCGGCCAGCGCGCCUCUGCCCGGCCAUCUGCUCUGCCCAGCUCUGCACAGCCCGGCCAUCUGCUCUGCCCAGCUCUGCACAGCCCGCCUCGACUCCGCGCGCUCUCCGCUCUGCUGGCGACUCUGCUCUGCUGAGGACUCUGCUAUGUGCAAUGUGUACUCCGCGACGCGCUGCUUACAGCUCGGUAUAUUUUCUGUCUGGCUCGGUUUCGCCCUGGCCUUCCCGGUCCCCCGGCCGCUGCCGGAGGCCGGCGCAGCCCGCACAUCAGUCGACAUCAACGCUCCUAUCGCUCGCUGCGCUACCUCGACUCGCCUUCGCUUGCGUGCUUAUCAGAUCUCAUUUGUUUUGUUUUGUUCUCACGAUGUCGACUCUUCAUUCUUUCGUUGCCAAUGCUGUCCCUUUCCCUUUUCUUGAGAACACAUUAAGUAUUAUAUUUUACAAGCAUAACCCAUUGUUUCCAAAACAAUGCUACCAUGUAGUCGUCCAUGGCCCUCAUAGAGGCCGAUCCAUGUUUCCAUAAUUUUUUCUUCUUCUGCGCCUUGCCAUUUUUACCAUAGUGCAUUGUUGACGUGCAUUGUUAAACCUGACGGCAUUGUCCGUGUCAUUAUGCUUGUCGAAAAGGGUGCAACGGUACGCCGUUAUAGGGAAGCAAUACACGAGACCACAACGAAA
rnacentral:misc_RNA from 1 species